rnacentral:rRNA from 1 species
GACAGAGGUGCCGAGCGUUAGGCGGAAUCACUGGGCUUAAAGCGUGUGUAGGCGGGCCGUUAAGUGCCUUGUGAAAUCCCCCGGCUCAACCGGGGAACGGCUGGGCAUACUGGCGGCCUUGAGUCACUCAGGGGUCAGCGGAACAAACGGUGGAGCGGUGAAAUGCGUAGAUAUCGUUUGGAACGCCGACGGCGAAAGCAGCUGACUGGGAGUGAUCGACGCUGAGGACACGAAAGCCAGG